GCACCGGUAGUGUAGUGGUAUCACGCAACCUUGCCAUGGUUGCAACCCGAGUUCAAAUCUCGGCCGGUGCA
rfam:Halorubrum saccharovorum strain H3 NODE_149, whole genome shotgun sequence.